rnacentral:lncRNA from 1 species
AACGAACCUGAACCUAUAUAGCCAACAUACACAGCAAGGAUCCAUAUGGCUAGGAACCAAGGAAACGUGCAAUCAAACUAUAUAGUCUCACUGCGAAUAGCUAACACAUCGUAAGUCAAAGGAUCAGCCACACCACUACAUCAUCGAGAAAGAUUAUUGACAAGUGAGUAGACAUCCAAGUGAUUUCUCGUAUUGAUCACGCUCAGCGUAAGUUGUUCUCUAACAAUCACCUACACUCUCACCCC